CCUACGGGCUGCAGCAGUGGGGCAUAUUGGGCAAUGGGCGCAAGCCUGACCCAGCAACGCCGCGUGAAGGAAGAAGGCUUUCGGGUUGUAAACUUCUUUUCUCAGGGACGAAGCAAGUGACGGUACCUGCAGAAUAAGCCACGGCUAACUACGUGCCAGCAGCCGCGGUAAUACGUAGGUGGCAAGCGUUAUCCGGAUUUACUGGGUGUAAAGGGCGUGUAGGCGGGACUGCAAGUCAGAUGUGAAAACCACGGGCUCAACCUGUGGCCUGCAUUUGAAACUGUAGUUCUUGAGUACUGGAGAGGCAGACGGAAUUCCUAGUGUAGCGGUGAAAUGCGGAGAUAUUAGGAGGAACACCAGAGGCGAAGGCGGUCUGCUGGACAGCAACUGACGCUGAGGCGCGAAAGCGUGGGGAGCAAACAGGAUUAGAUACCCCUGUAGUC
rnacentral:rRNA from 1 species